UCGAGGGGUAUAGUUCUUCGGAGCUAGAGACCGGCGCACGGGUGCGUAACGCGUAUGCAAUCUGCCUUUCACAGAGGGAUAGCCCAGAGAAAUUUGGAUUAAUACCUCAUAGUAUUAUGGAAGGGCAUCCUUUUAUAAUUAAAGUCACAACGGUGAAAGAUGAGCAUGCGUCCCAUUAGCUAGUUGGUAAGGUAACGGCUUACCAAGGCAACGAUGGGUAGGGGUCCUGAGAGGGAGAUCCCCCACACUGGUACUGAGACACGGACCAGACUCCUACGGGAGGCAGCAGUGAGGAAUAUUGGUCAAUGGGCGCAAGCCUGAACCAGCCAUGCCGCGUGCAGGAUGACGGUCCUAUGGAUUGUAAACUGCUUUUGUACGAGAAGAAACACUGAUUCGUGAAUCAGCUUGACGGUAUCGUAAGAAUAAGGAUCGGCUAACUCCGUGCCAGCAGCCGCGGUAAUACGGAGGAUCCAAGCGUUAUCCGGAAUCAUUGGGUUUAAAGGGUCCGUAGGCGGUUUAGUAAGUCAGUGGUGAAAGCCCAUCGCUCAACGGUGGAACGGCCAUUGAUACUGCUGAACUUGAAUUAUUAGGAAGUAACUAGAAUAUGUAGUGUAGCGGUGAAAUGCUUAGAUAUUACAUGGAAUACCAAUUGCGAAGGCAGGUUACUACUAAUGGAUUGACGCUGAUGGACGAAAGCGUGGGGAGCGAACAGGAUUAGAUACCCUGGUAGUCCACGCCGUAAACGAUGGAUACUAGCUGUUGGAAGCAAUUUCAGUGGCUAAGCGAAAG
rnacentral:rRNA from 1 species